CGGAAGUUAAGCCUCUCUGCGCCGAUGGUACUGCGAGGGGGACCUCGUGGGAGACUAGGACGCCGCCGGAC
rnacentral:rRNA from 1 species